rnacentral:rRNA from 1 species
GUCGUGCCCCGAUCUGAGGAAGACCCGCUGGGGGGGUGACUAAUACCUUUUACGCCCUUCAGGGGAAAGACUUAUCGAAGUUGGAUCGGCCCGCGUUCGAAUACGUACUUGGUGGGAUGACGGCCUACCAGACCUACUGUCUGUAGCUGGUUUUGCAUGAUGAUCCGAAAAUCCGGGACUGAUACGAGGCCCAGACUCCUACGGGUGGCACUGAUGGGGAAUCCUGACUCCUGGGCGCAGGCCUGAUCCAGCCAUGCCGCGUGGGGAUGAAGGCCCUAGGGUCGUAAAGCUCUUUCUCCUGUGAAGAUAAUGACUGUAGCAGGUAAAGAAACCCCAGCUAACUCCGUGCCAGCAACCGCGGUAAUACGGAGGGGGUUAGCGUUGUUCCGACUUACUGGUCCUAGCCAGCGCCCACGCGGAUUAGUCAGUCGCAAGUGAAAUCCCAAAUUUCAACCCUGGAACUGCCUUUGAUACUGCUGUCUUGAGUUCGAGAGAGGUAAGUGGAAUUCCUAGUGUACGAGGUGAAAUUCUGGCAUAUUCGGAUGAACAC